ACCUAGCCCCGAUUGCAGUGAGCAUCCCGAUCCUUUCAUCGGGAUAAAACGUAAAGCGGGAAGAAAC
rnacentral:sRNA from 1 species